rnacentral:pre_miRNA from 1 species
UUUUACGGAUGAGCCAAAAAAGUGGUUUCUAGAGAUGGAAUCUAUUCCUGAUGAAGAUCCUGUGAA